AUGGAGCACGCCGACGACCCUGUCAUUGACGUUGUUCCCCUGGCCAACGCUCCCCCCGUCCCUGCUGCUGGCGCUCCCCGGUCGCCUGCCACCACGCCACCUGCUACCGCGCCGUUGGUCGCCUCCCCAGCUCUCCCACCUCCUGCUCCCGCAGUCGCCGCUGCGUCCCUGCCUUCCUUCUUCCCGUCGUUGGUCCUUCAGACUGGCGACAUUCGCCGUCAUGUGCUGGUCACGCUCGACCUGCUCGCCGGCAACUAUACGCAAUGGGACCGCCACUUUGACACUGUCAUCGGCAUGUUUGGUCUGCGCGAUCACGUCGACUCCGCGGCGGUCUCUCGCCUCGACGACCCCGAGUGGCUGAUGGCGGAUCACGUCAUGGUGCACUGGCUCUACACCACCAUCUCGCCGGAGCUCCUCGACGAUGUCAUGCAGCCGGAGGACACCGCGCUCGUCGUGUGGACGGCCGUCGACGACAUCUUCCACGACAACCACCUUACACACGCCUUCUACGUCGACGCCGAGUACCACGCGCUGGUGCAAGGAGACAUGUCGAUCAUGCAGUACUGCACACGGUUGAAGACCUUCACCGACCAACUGCGCGACCUCGGCCAGCCCGUCUCCGAGCCCCGCCAGGUCUUUCAUCUCCUUUGUGGGUUGAGCCGGCAGUAUCACUCCGCCAUCCCGAACAUCACCUCUCAGGUUCCGCUCCCCUCCUUCCUGCAAGUUCGCUCCUUCUUACUGCUGGAGGAACACCGUGCAGAGCAGACCGCACGCAUUCAGUCCACCCACGCCCUCGUCGCCGGGCGCGGCUCCGCUCCUGCACCAGCACCUCCUGCGCCAGCCUCCGACAACACCCGUGGGCGCGGCCGUUCUCGUCGCUGUGGCUGUGGAGGUUCUUCCCCGACACCACCUGUGGCUCCGCGUCCGCCCAGCGUUCCUGCUCCGGCGCCCGGCGCCAACUCGUGGACGGGUCUCAUCCAGGCCUAG
rnacentral:rRNA from 1 species